rnacentral:rRNA from 1 species
AAAAUUAAAGGUCUAAUCUGCCCAAUGAUAUUUGAAUGGCCGCGGUAACUUGACCGUGCAAAGGUAGCAUAAUAAUUAGUCUUUUAAUUGAAGGCUUGAAUGAAAGAUUGGAUGAAAAAUAAACUUUAUUAAUAUAAAUUAUUUAAUUUAUUAUUUAAGUAAAAAUUCUUAGAUAUAUAAGUGGGACGAGAAGACCCUAUAGAGUUUUAUUUUUAUUUUUAUUAUCAAAUUAGAGAAUUAAUAUUUCUAUAAUAUAAAUGAAUUUUUUAUUGGGGUGAUAUUAAAAAUUUAUGAACUUUUAAUAAAUAUUUCAUUAAUAUAUGUACUUUUGAUCCAAAAAAAUUUUGAUUAUAAGAUUUAAUUACCUUAGGGAUAACAGCGUUAUUAAUUUGAAGAGUUCAAAUCGAUAAAUUAGUUUGCGACCUCGAUGUUGGAUUAAGAAUAAAUUUUGAAGUAGUAUUUAAAAUUAUAGGUCUGUUCGACCUUUAAAUUCUUACG